GUACCUUUCUCGGCCUUUUGUCUAAGAUCAAGUGUAGUAUCUGUUCUUAUCAGUUUAAUAUCUGAUACGUGGUCCAUCGGACCACAUGAUAUUAAAUUAAUUUUUCAGUGGGGGAGAGACCGCAACACUAGCUUGCUAGUGGGUCCCUCGAGCAUCGCUCAUUCUUUGCACUACUGCAUGGGCCUGGCACACUCCUA
rfam:Amborella trichopoda AMTR_V1.0_contig_12370, whole genome shotgun sequence.